rnacentral:rRNA from 1 species
AUUGAACGCUGGCGGCAGGCCUAACACAUGGCAGUCGAGCGGAUGAAGGGAGCUUGCUCCUGGAUUCAGCGGCGGACGGGUGAGUAAUGCCUAGGAAUCUGCCUGGUAGUGGGGGAUAGCGUCCGGAAACGGGCGCUAAUACCGCAUACGUCCUGAGGGAGAAAGUGGGGGAUCUUCGGACCUCACGCUAUCAGAUGAGCCUAGGUCGGAUUAGCUAGUUGGUGGGGUAAAGGCCUACCAAGGCGACGAUCCGUAACUGGUCUGAGAGGAUGAUCAGUCACACUGGAACUGAGACACGGUCCAGACUCCUACGGGAGGCAGCAGUGGGGAAUAUUGGACAAUGGGCGAAAGCCUGAUCCAGCCAUGCCGCGUGUGUGAAGAAGGUCUUCGGAUUGUAAAGCACUUUAAGUUGGGAGGAAGGGCAGUAAGUUAAUACCUUGCUGUUUUGACGUUACCAACAGAAUAAGCACCGGCUAACUUCGUG